GAGUAACUUCUUUUUCUUCUUCGAGCAGUGUCCCGUGGGUGCUCCACUAUAGGUGAAUGUGCAGCAGUAGCCCCUACAAGGAGGGGGGUUCGGAGCUAUCAUGCUGCGGCAGUGGACAGCACCGCUCUUGCCACUGCUCCUUCUGGAAGGUGAAGGUUGGGGAUGGCAUAGUGUUUGGCAAAGGUGAAGUUUGACGACCAUGUAACAGCCCUACAAAUGUCUUUUAGAUGUACUCCCUUGAGGAAUGCAGUUGAUGCAGCGACUGCACGCGUGGAAUGCGCUGUCGGAUUCUGUAACAGUGGUCUGCUACGUAGGGUAUAGCAUUCCUUUAUGCAGUUCACUAUGAUUGACGAAAUGCGCUGUGCUGACAACGGUUGACCCUUAGAACGAUCAGCUGUAGACAGAAAUAGAUUGUUUGUCUUCCUGAUGGACCUAGUUCUAUCAAUAUAGAAAGCCAGGGCACGUCUGGCAUCCAAAGUGUGUAGCCGAGCUUGUUCUGCCGAGAUGUGGGGCUUUGGGUAGAAAGUGGGAAGCACUAUCGGCUCAUUGAUGUGAAAUUUCGAAUUCACUUUCGGAAGGAAAGUGGGUUGGGGAUGUAAAAUGACUCCUUGAUCAGUAAACAGAGUAUAUGGGGGCAAAGCCGAUAAGGCAGCCAGCUCACCCACCCGUCUUGCGGAGGUUAUAGCUGUGAGAAAGAUAACUUUCAUUGUGAGAGUGCGGAAGUCACAUGUGGCCAAGGGCUCAAAGGGUUUUUGAGUUAACGUGUUAAGAACGAGCUCUAGGUCCCAUGGCUGCGCCGGUUGUGUUCGGUGUGGGAAGAGAUUAUCUAGGCCUUUCAUGAAACGUCGCAUCGUCGGGUGACAGAAAACUGAGUAACACUCCACCAUGUCGUGUAACGCAGUGAUUGCGGCGACGUGCACUCUAAUAGAGGCGCAGCUGAGAGAAGAGCUCUUGAGGUGCACGAGGUAGUCCAGGAUUCGGUGGAUGGGCGCGGAGUAGGGAUCCAGGGAUGCCGAUGCACACCAUGCGGAAAACCGUGUCCAUUUGUGAAGGAACCAUGCCGUUAGUGCCAGAAGAUCGAUCUGGGGAUGGAACAGGGACUGCCUGUUCUGGACGAGGAGGUCACGCCUCUUGGGCAGAGGGAAUGGACGACGCGCUGACAUAUGAUGGAGCCUGACAGGGUCUGAGGAGAAAACAGUAUUCCAUCUGCGGCCGA